AUUGAACGCUGGCGGCAUGCUUUACACAUGCAAGUCGAACGGCAGCGCGGGGCAACCUGGCGGCGAGUGGCGAACGGGUGAGUAAUAUAUCGGAACGUACCCAGAAGUGGGGGAUAACGUAGCGAAAGUUACGCUAAUACCGCAUACGAUCUACGGAUGAAAGUAGGGGACCGCAAGGCCUUAUGCUUUUGGAGCGGCCGAUAUCUGAUUAGCUAGUUGGUGAGGUAAAGGCUCACCAAGGCGACGAUCAGUAGCUGGGCUGAGAGGACGACCAGCCACACUGGAACUGAGACACGGUCCAGACUCCUACGGGAGGCAGCAGUGGGGAAUUUUGGACAAUGGGCGCAAGCCUGAUCCAGCAAUGCCGCGUGAGUGAAGAAGGCCUUCGGGUUGUAAAGCUCUUUUGUCAGGGAAGAAACGGUAGAGGCUAAUAUCCUUUGCUAAUGACGGUACCUGAAGAAUAAGCACCGGCUAACUACGUG
rnacentral:rRNA from 1 species